AACGUAGGACACGGGCGUUAUCCGGAGUUACUGGGCGUAAAGGGCGAGUAGGUGGUGCGAUAAGACUGGUGUGAAAGCCUUCGGCUUAACCGAGGGAGGACACUGGUGACUGUCGGACUUGAGGCAGAUAGAGGGGUGUAGAAUUCCGGGUGUAGUGGUGAAAUGCGUAGAGAUCCGGAGGAAUACCAGAGGCGAAGGCGGCACCCUGGGUCUGACCUGACACUGAUCCGCGACAGCAUGGGGAGCGAACGGG
rnacentral:rRNA from 1 species